UUGUGAAGCAGAAUUCACCAA
rnacentral:ncRNA from 2 species